GUGAGGAAUAUUGGUCAAUGGACGGAAGUCUGAACCAGCCAUCCCGCGUGCAGGAAGAAGGCGCUAUGCGUUGUAAACUGCUUUUCCAGGGGAAGAAAACCUGCUACGUGUAGUGGUUUGCCGGUACCCUGGGAAUAAGCAUCGGCUAACUCCGUGCCAGCAGCCGCGGUAAUACGGAGGAUGCGAGCGUUAUCCGGAUUUAUUGGGUUUAAAGGGUGCGUAGGCGGACCGAUAAGUCAGUGGUGAAAACCUGCAGCUUAACUGUAGAACUGCCAUUGAUACUGUCGGACUUGAGUGUGGUCAAGGUAGGCGGAAUGUGUAAUGUAGCGGUGAAAUGCUUAGAUAUUACACAGAACACCGAUUGCGAAGGCAGCUUGCUGGACCAUUACUGACGCUGAUGCACGAAAGCGUGGGGAGCAAACAGGAUUAGAAACCCCUGUAGUCC
rnacentral:rRNA from 1 species